rnacentral:misc_RNA from 1 species
UCCGAGUUGACCCCGGCAGUCUCCUAUGAGUCCCCGCCAUCACGCGCUGGCAACAUAGAACGAGGGUUGCGCUCGUUGCGGGACUUAACCCAACAUCUCACGACACGAGCUGACGACAACCAUGCACCACCUGCACGCAGACCUUGCGGAACCGGCGUCUCCACCGGCGUCCUGCGCAUGUCAAGCCUUGGUAAGGUUCUUCGCGUUGCGUCGAAUUAAGCCACAUGCUCCGCCGCUUGUGCGGGCCCCCGUCAAUUCCUUUGAGUUUUAGCCUUGCGGCCGUACUCCCCAGGCGGGGCGCUUAAUGCGUUAGCUGCGGCACGGAUCCCGUGGAAGGGAACCCACACCUAGCGCCCAACGUUUACAGCGUGGACUAC